rnacentral:rRNA from 1 species
GCUUGCACUUCUGACGUUAGCGGCGAACGGGUGAGUAACACGUAAGGAAUCUACCUAUAAGCGGGGGAUAACAUUCGGAAACGGGUGCUAAUACCGCAUAAUAUCUUCUUCCGCAUGGAAGAAGAUUGAAAGACGGCUCUGCUGUCACUUAUAGAUGACCUUGCGGUGCAUUAGUUAGUUGGUGGGGUAAUGGCCUACCAAGACGAUGAUGCAUAGCCGACCUGAGAGGGUGAUCGGCCACAUUGGGACUGAGACACGGCCCAAACUCCUACGGGAGGCAGCAGUAGGGAAUCUUCCGCAAUGGGCGAAAGCCUGACGGAGCAAUGCCGCGUGAGUGAAGAAGGCCUUCGGGUCGUAAAACUCUGUUAUAAGAGAAGAACAAAUUGUAGAGUAACUGCUACAGUCUUGACGGUAUCUUAUCAGAAAGCCACGGCUAACUACGUGCCAGCAGCCGCGGUAAUACGUAGGUGGCAAGCGUUGUCCGGAUUUAUUGGGCGUAAAGGGAGCGCAGGUGGUUUCUUAAGUCUGAUGUGAAAGCCCACGGCUUAACCGUGGAGGGUCAUUGGAAACUGGGAAACUUGAGUACAGAAGAGGAAUGUGGAACUCCAUGUGUAGCGGUGGAAUGCGUAGAUAUAUGGAAGAACACCAGUGGCGAAGGCGACAUUCUGGUCUGUUACUGACACUGAGGCUCGAAAGCGUGGGGAGCAAACAGGAUUAGAUACCCUGGUAGUCCACGCCGUAAACGAUGAGUGCUAGGUGUUGGAGGGUUU